AUGCAUCUGUUUGACAGACCUGGAGCAAACAGCCAUUGCUUCUCUGGUUCUUCCUGAGAUGCAACAGUAACAGGUUCCUUGCGCUUUCUACCUGUCUGACCUUGUGGCAGUCUGGAUUGAAUAAAGGAACACAAAC
rfam:Chlamydotis undulata macqueenii contig34926, whole genome shotgun sequence.